UCAGCCAUAACAGGAGUCACUAUUCUGUUUGUAAAUUUAACAGAGGACAGUUGUUAUUUAUGAUGACGAGCAACCAAUAAUAGUGAGCAAUUCCCCAAUUGUGCUUAACUCUUCAUAAUUCUUCUGCUGCACUGGCAAAUAUAAUAAUACAUAGUUAAGAUUUAAUUAUUUUUAUAUUGUUAUCUAAUAAAUAGUAAUUGUAUAUUUUUAAAAGUUUAACAAAAAAAAAGAAUAUUUUAACACUGAAUCUAAAUUCAAUUUUGACUCCUAAUUCAAUAGAGGGUAUAAAAGGGUAAUUUUUGAAUACUUCCCCUGAGGUUUGGCCUUGCUACACUUAGAUAGAAUGUAUGCAUAUAUUGACAUAUAGCACCCCCGGACGUGUAUAAGCGUUGGGGAGCCGUUUGGUAAACGGGGAUAAUUUUGUAAUUGCAAAAGUUUAUAAUUUUUAAAUCUUAAAAAAGUUAAUUGACAGUGAUUGAUUAAACAAAUCAAUGUGUAUUCAGAAUGCACAAUUAUACAAAGCUUGGAAUCGAGUGAAACAAAAGAUACCCCACCUUCACUUUAUCAAACCCAUCUUCACUUUACCAUUCAGCUUCAGUCCAAAACAAAUAAUGCCCACUCAUCGAAGACGUCACUCCUACCAACAACUCCAUCAUCGCCGCCGUCGAAUCCGCCGAUUUGAAGAACACCACCAGUUAGAACACGAACAAGGCCAAUACUAAUAACAAGCGCGAAGGAGUGGUGGCUGAGAGCGGCGUCGACAGAGCUGUGAAUUGGCAGAAUGCGAGGUGCGAGGCGGAGAUAUUGUUCGCAUCUGUUGUACGAGCAGCUACUCUCAGCACACGUGGCUUGCUUGAGGGUCGACACGUCGGUGGAUCAGCUGCCGAGGAUUGAUGCUCAGCUUGCUUAGUCACAGCACGACGUCUCUAAGUACAUCGCUUUAGGUGCCGGUCAAGGCUGGGUUACUGAUGACCAAGAGCUCCACUAUGUAUUCUACUUUCAUAAAGUUAUUAUUGAUUUUAAAUUUAAUUUCUUUUCCAUUUUGUUUGCUUGCUUGCUUGCUUUCUUGUCUUAUUAGAAACUUGAAUUUUAAAUUCACAGAGGAAUUUAUUGCGCUUGCUAUUGACUAAUUCGAGGCAUUGUACGUAUUAAAAAAAAUGUUUUUCUCCCCUCAAUUUGGGUGAUUUUUGGGUAUUACUGGUAUGUUUGAUUACUUGAGGAUGAGUUAAUUGGUUAUGAUGAUAAAGUUUUGAAUCUUUGAGUACAAAGUUAAAUUGUAAAUUUGAAGCAGAAUGAGCAAGGGUUUUGUUAGGAGACGG
rnacentral:lncRNA from 1 species